GAUGAACGCUGGCGGCGUGCCUAAUACAUGCAAGUCGAGCGAACGGACGAGAAGCUUGCUUUUCUGAUGUUAGCGGCGGACGGGCGAGUAACACGUGGAUAACCUACCUAUAAGACUGGGAUAACUUCGGGAAACCGGAGCUAAUACCGGAUAAUAUUUUGAACCGCAUGGUUCAUAAGUGAAAGACGGUCUUGCUGUCACUUAUAGAUGGAUCCGCGCUGCAUUAGCUAGUUGGUAAGGUAACGGCUUACCAAGGCAACGAUGCAUAGCCGACCUGAGAGGGUGAUCGGCCACACUGGAACUGAGACACGGUCCAGACUCCUACGGGAGGCAGCAGUAGGGAAUCUUCCGCAAUGGGCGAAAGCCUGACGGAGCAACGCCGCGUGAGUGAUGAAGGUCUUCGGAUCGUAAAACUCUGUUAUUAGGGAAGAACAUAUGUGUAAGUAACUGUGCACAUCUUGACGGUACCUAAUCAGAAAGCCACGGCUAACUACGUG
rnacentral:rRNA from 1 species